UCGGUCCGCCCCCCUCCUCCUGCUCUAGCACUGUGCAAACACUGCCGGGUGCUGGAGAUGACUCAUCUCAUAGACGGCUGCUGCUGGCUUCACAGGAGUGCAGUCUCUCUCCUCCUCUCCGUCCCUCGUGCAGAGUCUUAUCGUGUCCUACGGAGUAGCCCUCCCAAAGUGAAAAGUACCCUCGCUGGAUGUAAAAUGACACUACAGUACCCCAGCUAUACCAUGGACGGCCUACUUGUGAUGUGGACCUGCCCCUCUGCCAUGUUACAGAGACACCCUUCAGGUACUACGUAGUAGCCCUCCCAAAGUGAAAAGUACCCUCGCUGGAUGUAAAGUGACACUACAGUACCCUAGCUAUACCAUGUCUUACGUAGAAAGUCCUCCCAAAGUUAAAAGUACACUCUCCGGAAGUAAAGUGACACUACAGUACUCCUCCUCUACCAUGGACGGCCUACCACAAGACUUUCAAUACCACCGCAUUCCUGAAAUGCCCUAUUGUAAAUUUCAUUUACCAUUAAUAUUAAGAAAAAACACAAAACUUCUAUAUUUAAAAUGUUAUUGAAGAAAAUAAAACAGUUGUAUUUUCUAUUGUUGUGAAAAAAUAUAUUGUAAUAAAACAAAAAAAAGUUUGUUCUUC